rnacentral:rRNA from 1 species
UACGAAGGGGGCUAGCGUUGCUCGGAAUCACUGGGCGUAAAGGGUGCGUAGGCGGGUUUUUAAGUCAGGGGUGAAAUCCUGGAGCUCAACUCCAGAACUGCCUUUGAUACUGAAGAUCUUGAGUUCGGGAGAGGUGAGUGGAACUGCGAGUGUAGAGGUGAAAUUCGUAGAUAUUCGCAAGAACACCAGUGGCGAAGGCGGCUUACUGGUCCGGUUCUGACGCUGAGGCGCGAAAGCGUGGGGAGCAAACAGG